UGCUUGGGUCUUACGCAAUAGGAAUCCACGAACCAUGUCAGGUUGGGAACAAAGCAGCAUUAAGUGGAAGCUCUUAUGUGACGUGAGGUCGCCUGAGUUGAGU
rnacentral:SRP_RNA from 1 species